AGGCUUCACGAUGUGCAAAAACUUCUCUCUCUAUUUGUCAAGCUCCAUCGCAAGCUUCAUUGUAGGUCUUCGCUCUGUCCAUCUCGAGCUCCAUUGCAGAUCAGUUUGAGAUCUACAAUCUUCAGUAGAUCUACCUUGUUCUUCACAUUUUCUGUAGAUUUGAUUUCUGCUACUUUGAAGACAUCGAUUGGUUAAUUCACUCUCUAUCAAG